UGGUUUCUCUUCAGGUCGUAUAAAUCUUUCGCCUUUCACUAAAGAUUUCCAUGGAGAGGAACACCACA
rnacentral:snRNA from 1 species